GACGAACGCUGGCGGCGUGCUUAACACAUGCAAGUCGAACGAAGUGGCGAACGGGUGAGUAAUACGUGGGUAACCUGACCUCCGUUUUGGGAUAAGCCUUGGAAACGGGGUCUAAGACCGACUAAAGGGGGAUGGGCUCGCGGCCUAUCAGCGUGUGGGUGGGGUGAUGGCCUACCAAGGCGGUGACGGGUCGCCGGCCGGAGAGGGUGACCGGCGACAUUGGAACUGAGCCACGGCCCAGAGUCAUACGGGAGGGAGCAGUGUGGGAUAGUGCACGAUGGGCGAAAGCCUGAUGCAGCGACGCCGGAUGGGGGCUGAAGGCUUUUGAGUUGUAAUCCUCUUGCGGUAUCGAAGGGGUAGCCGGCGAAGAAGCCACGGCUAACUACGUGCCAGCAGCCGCGGUAAUUC
rnacentral:rRNA from 1 species